GUCCACGCCCUAAACGAUGGAUACUACGUAGGGGACCCUCCAAGGGGUUCCCUUCCGGAGUGAAACGUUAAGUAUCCCGCCUGGGGAGUAUGGUCGCAAGGCUGAAACUCAAAGGAAUUGACGGGGGCUCACACAAGCGGUGGAGCAUGUUGCUCAAUUCGAUGCAACGCGAAGAACCUUACCCGGGCUCGAAGCGUACGGAUUAACCCUGUGAAAGCAGGGCGACACCUUUACCGGUGGAACGUACGUAGGUGUUGCAUGGCUGUCGU
rnacentral:rRNA from 1 species